GACGAACGCUGGCGGCGUGCUUAACACAUGCAAGUCGAACGGAAAGGCCCUGCUUGCAGGGUAUUCGAGUGGCGAACGGGUGAGUAACACGUGGGUGAUCUGCCCUGCACUUCGGGAUAAGCCUGGGAAACUGGGUCUAAUACCGGAUAGGAGCCAUUUUUAGUGUGAUGGUUGGAAAGUUUUUUCGGUGUAGGAUGAGCUCGCGGCCUAUCAGCUUGUUGGUGGGGUAAUGGCCUACCAAGGCGGCGACGGGUAGCCGGCCUGAGAGGGUGGACGGCCACAUUGGGAAUGAGAUACGGCCCAGAACACUACGGGAGGCAGCAGUGGGGAAUAUUGAACAAUGGGCGCAAGCCUGAUGCAGCGACGCCGCGGGGGGGAUGACGGCCUUCGGGUUGUAAACUCCUUUCGCUAGGGACGAAGCUUUUUGUGACGGUACCUAGAGAAGAAGCACCGGCUAACUACGUG
rnacentral:rRNA from 1 species